CGUUGUUCGGAAUCACUGGGCUUAAAGGGCGCGUAGGCGGACUGCCAAGUCCGGGGUGAAAUCCUCCGGCUUAACCGGAGAAUUGCCUGGGAUACUGGCGGUCUUGAGGGAGGUAGGGGCACGCGGAACUUCCGGUGGAGCGGUGAAAUGCGUUGAUAUCGGAAGGAACGCCGGUGGCGAAAGCGGCGUGCUGGCCCUCUUCUGACGCUGAGGCGCGAAAGCCAGGGGAGCGAACGGG
rnacentral:rRNA from 1 species